rnacentral:rRNA from 1 species
UACGUAGGGUGCGAGCGUUAAUCGGAAUUACUGGGCGUAAAGCGUGCGCAGGCGGUGAUGUAAGACAGAUGUGAAAUCCCCGGGCUCAACCUGGGAACUGCAUUUGUGACUGCAUCGCUGGAGUGCGGCAGAGGGGGAUGGAAUUCCGCGUGUAGCAGUGAAAUGCGUAGAUAUGCGGAGGAACACCGAUGGCGAGGGCAAUCCCCUGGGCCUGCACUGACGCUCAUGCACGAAAGCGUGGGGAGCAAACAGG